UGUCUCAAAUCUCCAUGGAGAGUAGAGUC
rnacentral:piRNA from 1 species